rnacentral:rRNA from 1 species
AGUAACGCGUGGGUAACCUGCCUUAUACAGGGGGAUAACAGUCAGAAAUGGCUGCUAAUACCGCAUAAGCGCACAGAGCUGCAUGGCUCAGUGUGAAAAACUCCGGUGGUAUAAGAUGGACCCGCGUUGGAUUAGCUUGUUGGCAGGGUAGCGGCCUACCAAGGCGACGAUCCAUAGCCGGCCUGAGAGGGUGAACGGCCACAUUGGGACUGAGACACGGCCCAGACUCCUACGGGAGGCAGCAUG